CCUACGGGUGGCAGCAGUGAGGAAUAUUGGUCAAUGGGCGCGAGCCUGAACCAGCCAAGUAGCGUGAAGGAUGACUGCCCUACGGGUUGUAACCUUCUUUUAUAAAGGCAUAAAGUGAGUCACGUGUGCCUUUUUGUAUGUACUUUAUGAAUAAGGAUCGGCUAACUCCGUUCCAGCAGCCGCGGUAAUACAUAGGGGGCAAGCGUUAUCCGGAAUUAUUGGGUGUAAAGGGUGCGUAGACGGAAGAACAAGUUGGUUGUGAAAUCCCUCGGCUCAACUGAGGAACUGCAACCAAAACUAUUCUACUUGAGUGUCGGAGAGGAGAGUGGAAUUCCUAGUGUAGCAGUGAAAUGCGUAGAUAUUAGGAGGAACACCAGUGGCGAAGGCGACUUUCUGGACGAUAACUUACGUUGAGGCACGAAAGUGUGGGGAGCAAACAGGAUUAGAUACCCGAGUAGUC
rnacentral:rRNA from 1 species